UACGUAGGGUGCAAGCGUUGUCCGGAAUUAUUGGGCGUAAAGGGCUCGUAGGCGGUUUGUCGCGUCGGGGAGUGAAAACUCAGGGCUUAACCCUGAGCCUGCUUCCGAUACGGGCAGACUAGAGGUAUGCAGGGGAGAAUGGAAUUCCUGGUGUAGCGGUGAAAUGCGCAGAUAUCAGGAGGAACACCGGUGGCGAAGGCGGGUCUCUGGGCAGUAACUGACGCUGAGGAGCGAAAGCGUGGGGGAGCGAACAGG
rnacentral:rRNA from 1 species